CCUACGGGUGGCAGCAGUGAGGAAUAUUGGUCAAUGGGCGGGAGCCUGAACCAGCCAUGCCGCGUGAAGGCGAGUGCCCUACGGGCGUUAAACUUCUUUUGUGCGGGAGCAAUAAGGGCCACGCGUGGCCCGAUGAGAGUACCGCACGAAUAAGCAUCGGCUAACUCCGUGCCAGCAGCCGCGGUAAUACGGGGGAUGCGAGCGUUAUCCGGUUUUAUUGGGUUUAAAGGGUGCGUAGGAGGUGCUUCAGGUCAGCGGUGAAAUACCGGGGCGCAACCCCGGGGCUGCCGGUGAAACCGGAGCGCUAGAAGGCAGAGGCCGUCGGAGGAAUGUGUGGGGUAGCGGUGAAAUGCAUAGAUAUCACACAGAAAACCGAUUGCGAAGGCAGCUGACGAAUAGGAGAUUGACGCGGAUGCACGAAAGAGUGGGUAUCGAACAGGAUUAGAUACCCGUGGAGUC
rnacentral:rRNA from 1 species